UCUUGGAUUUAUGAAAGACGAACAACUGCGAAAGCAUUUGCCAAGGAUGUUUUCAUUAAUCAAGAACGAAAGUUGGGGGCUCGAAGACGAUCAGAUACCGUCCUAGUCUCAACCAUAAACGAUGCCGACCAGGGAUCGGCGGAGUGUGCUUAUAGGACUCCGCCGGCACCUUAUGAGAAAUCAAAGUCUUUGGGUUCCGGGGGGAGUAUGGUCGCAAGGCUGAAACUUAAAGGAAUUGACGGAAGGGCACCACCAGGCGUGGAGCCUGCGG
rnacentral:ncRNA from 1 species